UCGGUCUGAACUGUGCGAUUUACGUUUCGUCAGAGGUCUGUUCUUGGGAUUCUGGUGCUGUUGAUCUCGUCAAGGGCCUCAUCUGCUUUCUUUCAUCUUGUGAAGGGGUAUCUAAGAGAGCUGGUCCAGGCUUGAUGGAAAUCGCUUGAUGGAAAUCACUUCAUAGCGCCUAUAUGUGACUAUCUACUUUGUUUGCUAAUAACAUUGUAAAUAAUUAAUCGUAAGCUUCUUAGAACACUAUGUAUCAUUACUAAGUAUCUAUCUACCAGCAAUAAGUACUUAUUUUCAUA